GUCCACGCCCUAAACUAUGUCUACUAGUUGUUGGGGAGUUAAAUCCCUUAGUAACGCAGCUAACGCGCGAAGUAGACCGCCUGGGGAGUACGGUCGCAAGAUUAAAACUCAAAGGAAUUGACGGGGCCCGCACAAGCGGUGGAUGAUGUGGUUCAAUUCGACGCAACGCGAAAACCUUACCUACCCUUGACAUGUGAGGAACCCUGCAGAGAUGCAGGGGUGCCCGAAAGGGAACCUCAACACAGGUGCUGCAUGGCUGUCGU
rnacentral:rRNA from 1 species